GAUAGUUUGAUCCUGGCUCAGGAUGAACGCUAGCGGCAGGCCUAAUACAUGCAAGUCGAACGAUACCAGUGAGCUUGCUUUCUGGGAAAGUGGCGCACGGGUGCGUAACGCGUAUGCAACCUACCUUAAUCAGGGGGAUAGCCUCUCGAAAGAGAGAUUAACACCGCAUAACAUCAUUUUACGGCAUCGUAGAAUGAUCAAAUAUUUAUAGGAUUAAGAUGGGCAUGCGUGACAUUAGCUAGUUGGUGAGGUAACGGCUCACCAAGGCUACGAUGUCUAGGGGAUCUGAGAGGAUGACCCCCCACACUGGUACUGAGACACGGACCAGACUCCUACGGGAGGCAGCAGUAAGGAAUAUUGGUCAAUGGAGGCAACUCUGAACCAGCCAUGCCGCGUGCAGGAAGACGGCCCUAUGGGUUGUAAACUGCUUUUAUACGGGAAUAAACCUCUCUACGUGUAGGGAGUUGAAUGUACUGUAAGAAUAAGGAUCGGCUAACUCCGUGCCAGCAGCCGCGGUAAUACGGAGGAUCCAAGCGUUAUCCGGAUUUAUUGGGUUUAAAGGGUGCGUAGGCGGCCUAUUAAGUCAGGGGUGAAAGACGGUGGCUCAACCAUCGCAGUGCCCUUGAUACUGAUGGGCUUGAUUACACUUGAGGUAGGCGGAAUGUGACAAGUAGCGGUGAAAUGCAUAGAUAUGUCACAGAACACCAAUUGCGAAGGCAGCUUACUAAGGUGUCAAUGACGCUGAGGCACGAAAGCGUGGGGAUCAAACAGGAUUAGAUACCCUGGUAGUCCGCGCCCUAAACGAUGAAUACUCGAUGUUAGCGAUACACAGUUAGCGUCAAAGCGAAAGCGUUAAGUAUCCAC
rnacentral:rRNA from 1 species